rnacentral:rRNA from 1 species
AACGAACGCUGGCGGCAGGCUUAACACAUGCAAGUCGAACGCCCCGCAAGGGGAGUGGCAGACGGGUGAGUAACGCGUGGGAACAUACCCUUUCCUGCGGAAUAGCUCUGGGAAACUGGAAUUAAUACCGCAUACGCCCUACGGGGGAAAGAUUUAUCGGGGAAGGAUUGGCCCGCGUUGGAUUAGCUAGUUGGUGGGGUAAAGGCCUACCAAGGCGACGAUCCAUAGCUGGUCUGAGAGGAUGAUCAGCCACAUUGGGACUGAGACACGGCCCAAACUCCUACGGGAGGCAGCAGUGGGGAAUAUUGGACAAUGGGCGCAAGCCUGAUCCAGCCAUGCCGCGUGGGUGAUGAAGGCCCUAGGGUUGUAAAGCCCUUUCGGCGGGGAAGAUAAUGACGGUACCCGCAGAAGAAGCCCCGGCUAACUUCGUGCCAGCCGCCGCCGUAAAAC